UAAGACCUCGCGCUAUUGGAUGAGCCAAAGUCGGAUUAGCUAGUUGGUGGGGUAAUGGCCUACCAAGGCGACAAUCCGUAGCUGGUCUGAGAGGACGACCAGCCACACCGGAACUGAGACACGGUCCGGACUCCUACGGGAGGCAGCAGUGGGGAAUAUUGGACAAUGGGGGAAACCCUGAUCCAGCGACGCCGCGUGUGUGAAGAAGGCCUGCGGGUUGUAAAGCACUUUUAGUGGGGACAAAAAGCCACGGAUUAAUACUUCGUGGUCUUGAUUUAACCCAAAGAAAAAGCACCGGCUAACUCUGUGCCAGCAGCCGCGGUAAUACAGAGGGUGCGAGCGUUAAUCGGAAUUACUGGGCGUAAAGCGCGCGUAGACGGUUUUGUAAGUCAGAUGUGAAAUCCCUGGGCUCAACCUGGGAACU
rnacentral:rRNA from 1 species